UCAGCGCCCUGGGUGCCAAGAUAGUCUCCAGCGACUCUUCUCCCCUCAAGGCCUCAGUCUAGAGUCUGAGGAGAGCUCCCCCCAUUGACACCAUCAGGACCUCCAGCACUGGCUUAAGUGGCUUCCCUGUCCACUGCAGCAUUUGAUUUCAGGCUACAUGUGAAAAAACAGAGUCAUUGAGAGAAAGCAACUCACUGAAGGUCACUUGGGAAACAGCACAGAUAGGAAGAACCAGGCCUCCGAGUCACAGAAAGAUCUUCCGUUCAUCGGAUGAUGGAUUUCUACAGGCUGCAAGAAGACAAAGAACACAAGUGACAAGACACCUAGAAAAAGAUGUUCAAGACCUACAUGAAGCCCACCCAGGGUUCUCUUUGAAACUAUUGUUUGUUGAAGUUAUGGGGAAUAAAGUUUACACUCCCAUUA